UACGGGGGGGGGCAAGCGUUUGUUCGGAAUUACUGGGCGUAAAGCGCGUGUAGGCGGCCCGGUAAGUCCGCUGUGAAAGUCCAGGGCUCAACCCUGGGAUGCCGGUGGAUACUGUCGGGCUCGAGUCCGGAAGAGGCGAGUGGAAUUCCUGGUGUAGCGGUGAAAUGCGCAGAUAUCAGGAGGAACACCUAUUGCGAAGGCAGCUCGCUGGGACGUAACUGACGCUGAGACGCGAAAGCGUGGGGAGCAAACAGG
rnacentral:rRNA from 1 species